AUUGAACGCUGGCGGCAGGCCUAACACAUGCAAGUCGAACGAGUGGCGGACGGGUGAGUAAUGUCUGGGAAACUGCCUGAUGGAGGGGGAUAACUACUGGAAACGGUAGCUAAUACCGCAUACCAUCAGAUGUGCCCAGAUGGGAUUAGCUAGUAGGUGGGGUAAUGGCUCACCAAGGCGACGAUCCCUAGCUGGUCUGAGAGGAUGACCAGCCACACUGGAUCUGCGACACGUUCUAUACUCCGACGGGAGUCAGCGGUGGGGAAUAUUGCGCAAGGGGCGCAAGCCUGAUGCAGCCAGGCGGCGUGUAUGAAGAAGGCCUUCGGGUUGUAAAGUACUUUCAGCGGGGAGGCGUUACCCGCAGAAGAAGCACCGGCUAACUCCGUGCCAGCCGCCGCGGUAAUAC
rnacentral:rRNA from 1 species